GAAAUGCGAUAGGCAAUGCGAAUUGCAGAAUUCCGCGAAUCAUCAGAUCUUUGAACGCAAGUGGCGCUCACUGGAUAUCCGGUGAGCAUGCUUGUUUCAGUGUCUUAUUUUUCAACAAGACAACUUAAUGUGAUUGAUAACCUCUUUAUGGUUAUCUCUCAUGAAAUGAGAAUGUGCAUGUAUAAUCAACACAACGAAGUAGUCACAUGUUGUUAUGUGAUCUCGUUGAUAUGUAGAUUAUACAUAUAUUGUGCACAUAGAACUCAAACACACUUAUCAAAGUGUAUCUGAAAUCAAGCAAGAUCACCCGCUGAACUUAA
rnacentral:misc_RNA from 1 species